rnacentral:lncRNA from 1 species
AGGCUAACAGCACUUCAUGAAUGCUUGUGCGGUCAGAAAAAUAGUGGAGAUAUAAUCUUUGCCAGGCAAAUCAUCACUCUUCUCCAUGAGAAUGCAAGUCCUUGAAUAAGUGAACCAAAGAUGGGUUCCUUAUUGAAGUCCAGAAAUUCCGCUACAAUCACAAAGUUCAAUUAAAUGCUACGUUGAAGUCCAAAAUCAUGCUGAUCGCUUUAUUAUGAUCUUUAUAUCACAUCUCAGGAAUGGCAUUUCGGUCCAUGGUUCCACAAAAUCUACCAUGCAAGGUAAAUUAAUCGCUUUAUUAUGAUCUUUAUCCUGUAAACCCACAAUUUUUACUUUACAUGAUGAAAAAAGAAAGGAUAAAUCCAGAAACAUGUUGAGCUUGCAGGAUCCUGGAGACAAUAAUACUCAAUCACUACCAAUAAAGCUGCAACUUAAUCAAACAAACUAUUUAGUACACGCUUGACAACAAUUUCUUGGCCCUCCGAAAGUGCAGCAUGUUUCCUUGGCAAAUUCCAAUUUUAAAUGCUAUCGGUG